ACGCUGGCGGCGUGCCUAACACAUGCAAGUCGAACGGAGUCAAGAAGCUUGCUUUUGACUUAGUGGCGGACGGGUGAGUAACGCGUGAGUAACCUGCCUCUGAGAGGGGAAUAACGUUCUGAAAAGAACGCUAAUACCGCAUAAUGUAUCGGAGCCGCAUGACUUUGAUACCAAAGAUUUUAUCGCUCGGAGAUGGACUCGCGUCCGAUUAGUUAGUUGGUGAGGUAACGGCUCACCAAGACCGCGAUCGGUAGACCGGACUGAGAGGUUGAUCGGCCACAUUGGGACUGAGACACGGCCCAGACUCCUACGGGAGGCAGCAGUGGGGGAUAUUGCGCAAUGGGGGCAACCCUGACGCAGCAACGCCGCGUGAAGGAUGAAGGUUUUCGGAUUGUAAACUUCUUUUAUCAGGGACGAAACUUGACGGUACCUGAUGAAUAAGCUCCGGCUAACUACGUGCCAGCCGCCGC
rnacentral:rRNA from 1 species